rnacentral:rRNA from 1 species
UUAAGAGUUUGAUCCUGGCUCAGGAUGAAUGUUGGCGGCGUGCCUGAGAUAUGCAAGUCGAGCGCAUCUUGUCCUUUGGACAAGGAAAUCCGAAGUAUGAAAAUUCGAAACAAUUUGUUUUGAGUUUCGAUAUUCAAAUUUCGAUUUUCUCGUCCAGAGGACGAGGUUAGCGGCGGACGGCUGAGUAACACGUAGGGACCUACCCCAAAAUAAGGAAUAGCUCGUCGAAAGAUGAGGUAAUACCUUAUAGUAUCCGGCGUUACGUCGGAUUAAAGAGCUUAACCGCUCGUUUUGGGAGGGACCUGCGGCCUAUCAGGUAGUUGGUAGGGUAAUGGCCUACCAAGCCUACGACGGGUAGCUGGUCUGAGAGGAUGGUCAGCCAGAGGGGUACUGAGACACGGACCCCACUCCUACGGGAGGCAGCAAUCAGGAAUAGUCGGCAAUGGGCGAAAGCCUGACCGCGCGACGCCGCGUGUAGGAAGAAGCUCUUAGGAGUGUAAACUACUGUGGUAGGGGAAGAAGUCCCGCUUUUGGCGGGAUUGACGGUACCCUACUAGAAAGGGGCCGCUAACUGCGUGCCAGAAGCGUCGGUAAUACGUGGGCCCCAAACAUUAUCCGGUUUUACUGGGCGUAAAAGGUCGUGUAGGCGGUUUAUUAAGUCACCUCUUAAAUUUUCCCGCUUAACGGGAAAAAAGGAGGUGAUACUAAUAAGCUGGAGUUUUCUUUAGGGAGACUGGAACUUAGAGAGGAGUAGUGAAAUGCGUUGAUACUCUAGGGAACACCAGUGGCGAAGGCGAGUCUCUUGAAGAUAACUGACGCUGAGACACGAAAGCUAGGGGAGCGAAGCAGAUUAGAGACCUGCGUAGUCCUAGCCGUAAACGAAUGCCUGCUGGCUGCAUUGUCCCGACAUUACGUCUGGAUGGUGUGGCGAAGGUAACCCGUUAAGCAGGCCGCCUGGGGAGUACGGCCGCAAGGUUGAAACUCAAAGGAAUUGGCGGGGAGGCACACAACCAGUGGAACAUGUGGUUCAAUUCGAAACGAACCGAAGAACCUCACCAGGGUUUGACAUCCCGACGUUCUACCUCGAUGAAAAUCGGGGGAUGCGCAAGCAGGUCGGGACAGGUGCUGCAUGGCUGUCGUCAGCUCGUUCCGUGAGGAGUGCCCUUAAGUGGGACAACGAGCGCAACCCCUAUCCUGUGUUAAAUCUGUCACAGGAAACGGUCCCGCCUUUGGCGGGAAGGAAGGAGGGGCAGACGUCAAGUCAGCAUGGUCCUUAUACCCUGGGCUACACACAUGUUACAAUGGAUGGCAACAACGGGUUUUGCCAAGUCGCAAGACCGAGCAAAUCCCUGAAAUCCAUCCUCAGUGGGGAUUGAGGUCUGCAACCCGACCUCAUGAACGCGGAAUUGGUAGUAAUCGCGGAUCAGCUAUGCCGCGGUGAAUACGUUCCCGGGCCUUGUACACACCGCCCGUCAAACCACCCGAGUUGAGGAUACCAGAAGUCAUUGGUCUA